CACAACUCUUUUUCUUCUUCCACAGGUGUCAGGUUCCUGCACAGGUGAACGGAGGUGGAGUCACGGCUUUGGGGCGGCUUGCUAAAAAGGGAAGGAACUGAGAUGAGACCAGACUCAGCAGCCCUCCAGUGAGCCCAGGAGACCACCGAGGGACACCCACGCACCUCAUGGCUUGGGGGACGCAUGGAGAUGGUGGGGCAGGAGACAGAGACGAGACCACUGAGCUGAGGAGACCAGUCAGGCCUUCAAGAUGCUGCCUAAAUGCUGGGGCAGACCAGAUGAGACCAGCUGAGACGAGUCCUGUUGGGGAGAAGAUGGAGGGAGAUUAAUUGAGCCAAGGAAGGAGAGAGAGAGAGAGAGAGAGAGAGAGAGAGAGAGAA